rnacentral:rRNA from 1 species
GUCCCAGUUCGGACUGUAGUCUGCAACCCGACUACACGAAGCUGGAAUCGCUAGUAAUCGCGAAUCAGAACGUCGCGGUGAAUACGUUCCCGGGUCUUGUACACACCGCCCGUCACACCAUGGGAGUCGGGAAUGCCCGAAGCCGGUGACCCAACCGAAAGGAGGGAGCCGUCGAAGACAGGUCUGAUAACUGGGGUGAAGUCGUAACAAGGUAUC